ensembl:lncRNA
AGGGCUGUUUCGGCCAGUGUGCUUUCCCCUAACACUUCCACCACAGAGACCUGCAGUGUUAAAAUAGAGGCCCUUGCAUUCCCCUGAGUCCUAGAGUGGAGAAGAUGUUGGGCAGAGGAGUGGCCAACCACAGCAAAUAGGAGCAGGAGGGGGUGGUAACACUCUCUGUUUAAACCAGGAGACUUGGGGCUGCUUAUUUCAGUUGGGCUGUACUGCUUGACCCCAUUUGUAGUCCCACCAUUCAGAGGUUAACUACUUUUAGAUCUUGGUGUGUAUCUUAGCAGAGAUGCUUAUAUGUGAAUGAACAUCUUUAGAUAAAGUCUUACGAAAAGGGGAUAACAUACACCUUGCUUUCGUUGCCUUCUUAUUCUCCCUCAGAUGUGGUGGACAUUUUGUCAAAUUCAUAUCUACACCCCAAUUUUUAGUGUAGCUUCUUAGUGCACCGCGGCAUGGUCAUCCCCAAAGUUAGCUUUCCAGUUUCUUUUUGGUGAAGCAGAAGGUUUACUUUUUUACUUUUAUAAACUUUAUAAUGAAUUCAUUUAUAAUGAAUGUCUUGUGUAAAUAUUUUUAUACACUGGCUCAAUCAUUUCCUUACAUUUAGGCUAAAUCCCAAGGAGUGGGGUUGCUGAUUCCAAGGAGAUUCGCAUCCUUCAUUUGGAUACACAGUGCCAAACCGCAUUCCAGGAGGCCUGGCAGUUCACGCCCUUGCCAGCUCACUGGUCAUCAAUGGCAAGCAUGAUCAGUUUUUCCAGCGGAUUUCAGUCUGGAGAGCACUAUUAAUUCUGACAGAAGACGUCUGGACAAAACAUUUCAGGGCUAGCCUAGUGGACCCAAGGCUGUUGUUCACGAAGAAUCCAGGCUUCUAACUCUAUACACUGUAUCCUUGUUUCAUAGCAACCAUCCCUAAGGUCUCCACAUGGUCUAAUGUGGUCCCUGGAGCUCCAGCCAUCAUGUCUGCAUUCCAGCUCCCAGGCCUCUGUUCCACUCCCAGCCAGGCUACCACAAGCUGUGUAACUUCCCAAAGUCCCAGGACCUUCCAGAAGCUGAGCACAUGGAUCAGUUUCACAAGUGCUUGUGUUGUGGACCCUGAGCUCAUAAGAACAAGAGUUGUGUACUUUCCUUCAUAUCCCAGAGUUCCAGUGGUACCCGUGGAUGUGAGCUCCUCCUAUCUCCCUCCAAGAAAGAGCUUGCUGUUCUCCUGCAAGGAAGGCAGUUAGCCGACAACCUCUGAAUGAACAUUCGUUUCGCAGAUGUCCACACUGGGUUGGCCAAGACUGUGUCAGCUCUGCAACAC